GGAUGUGAGGGUGAUCUGGCUGUGAAAUCUGUCACUCCAUUGAUCACCCGGGUUGAUUUGGCUAAUCUGGCUGGCUAGGCAGGUGUCUCCUUGCUUCCUCACCUCUUCAUGUGUGUCCCUCCCAAAGCUUUGUCCUCAGUCAAAGAGGACGACCUUCCCCGAGUCGAGGGGGACUGGUCUUCAGUCAAGUGUACACGAGUAGCUGUGCUUCCUGCUAGAACCUCCAAACAAGCUCUCAUACUUUAGCCAGUCAUGUGAUGGCCCUGAGAUCAACUUUGACUAGUCAGGAUGAGACAGCGGACCCUCCCAUUAGGAGACGAAAAUGCCAGCUGACUGUGCUGGUGUGCUUU
rnacentral:snRNA from 1 species